rnacentral:lncRNA from 1 species
GGCUGAAAUAGAUAGAAAUAUAUAAAAAAAAACUCACAGCAAAACUCUUUAAAUACAUUUGCAAAAUUUAAAACAACGAAAGAAUUGAAAGCAAAUAAUUCUAGAGACUAUUUGAAUGACUAUUUUAUACUUGACCAGAGUAAAAAGCAACCAGAUUUCAUUGUUAAAGAUCAUAACCCUGACCCUGUUAACUUAUGCAUGAGGAAAGAUGCAGUUUUUUUGUAGGCCCCACUUUCUAUAAUUAGUGUGAUUGUAAAGCCAGAAUGACCCAAGGCGAUUCACAUGUCAACAGCUCUAUAUGCAAUUGAUGUUUACGUACUUUAUUAGUACGAUAUUGAGGCCAAUUCUUACACGUUUUCAGGUAUAUCUGAACAUUACAUAAUUUCAGAACUUCAUGGUCAUUAUUGGUGUUAAACACAUUAAAGCAACAACACACUUUUCUCCUUGUACUUUACCAGUUGAAUGCUAAGUGUAUACUCAUUUAAACAUGCUUUGUCUGUUAGAAGAAAUGAUUCCUUAACAUUUGCGAAAUACAUACUAUACGCACUCUAUUCAAUAACUUAUAAAUUGUAUAAGCUACUGGUUUUAAAUUCAGAACUGAAAUACAGGGGCGGAGAAGUAAUUUUCAUAUUCAACAUCGACGACCUCGUCAGUUCAAAUACAACCACAACUAUGCUAAAUGAAUGAAAGUCAUCCGUUGACAUGAAUUUGAACAUGCUUUUCUGAAAAUAUCAAUUCAUCAUUUUAGAUAUUACUAGGACACUAAGAUAAUAGAGAAAAUAUUAAUGAUAAAUCAAAGUUAU